UACGUAGGGUGCAAGCGUUAAUCGGAAUUACUGGGCGUAAAGCGUGCGCAGGCGGCUUUGCAAGACAGAUGUGAAAUCCCCGGGCUUAACCUGGGAACUGCAUUUGUGACUGCAUGGCUGGAGUGCGGCAGAGGGAGAUGGAAUUCCGCGUGUAGCAGUGAAAUGCGUAGAUAUGCGGAGGAACACCGAUGGCGAAGGCAAUCCCCUGGACCUGCACUGACGCUCAUGCACGAAAGCGUGGGGAGCAAACAGG
rnacentral:rRNA from 1 species